rnacentral:lncRNA from 1 species
UUCACCAUGAGCCUACAACGACCCAACCCACUAGCAAUAACUCGUUGGGCCCAACUACCGGCCCAAAAUGCUUAAACACAGCUAUUAUUAGGGUGGAGUCCUCUUAUAAAUCCAAUGACAACAUCAUUCCCAUCCGAUAUGGAGAUGUCACAAACUCCCUCCCGUUUAGGCCCUGACAUGCCCGUCAGCCCUAAACACACACAGCCCAAAAUUACCAAGCGAUCCAAUGAUGUGACCAAAGUGACAAUUUAUAUAUUGUAUAGAUAUAUUUGAUUAGAAAUAUAGUAAUUAUAAUUAUGUAUAUAUAGUAUUUUUUUUAAUUUGAUACAAUAAAAAGUAUUGUAAUUAAAAUUUUGUCACGUGAGAUUAUCUCUAAUAUAAAAAAAAAAAUACUUUCGAAUUAAAAAGUGAUUAGGGAGAUUUUAUUUUUUGUUUAAAAUUAUUCUUUUGAAUUGCUGCAGUUGAAACUAUAGCUAAUUUGAGCGUAGUUCCAACUGUUGCAAUCGGGCAACCUCAUAUUGUUUCAACUGCAAUAGUUGGAUUCAAAUACAAACCAAAUGUCGGAUUUGGAUACGCAUGUAGUUAUAAUUGAUGUAGUUGGAACUGCAUGUGGAGGCCCACCUGUAGUAGUUGAAAUUAUGCCAGAAUUAGCUGCAGCUCAAACUAUAGCAGUUAAAGAGAGUAAUUUUAAAGAAAAAUAAACUUAUCUUUUCUAAUCACUUUUUAAAUAGAUAUAAUAUUUUUAAUUUCUAUAUUGGAGGUAAUCUCACUACCAUAUAUAUAAACUGGUAAAAUUUUAAAAAUAUGCAUCCCAAUUGCAUGCAACCAAAUAAAUUAUUUAU